rnacentral:rRNA from 1 species
AACGAACGCUGGCGGCAUGCCUAACACAUGCAGGUCGAACGAGACCUUCGGGUCUAGUGGCGCACGGGUGCGUAACGCGUGGGAAUCUACCCUUGGGUUCGGAAUAACAGUUAGAAAUGACUGCUAAUACCGGAUGAUGACGUAAGUCCAAAGAUUUAUCGCCCAAGGAUGAGCCCGCGUAAGAUUAGCUUGUGGGUGGGGUAAUGGCCUACCAAGGCGACGAUCUUUAGCUGGUCUGAGAGGAUGAUCAGCCACACUGGGACUGAGACACGGCCCAGACUCCUACGGGAGGCAGCAGUGGGGAAUAUUGGACAAUGGGCGAAAGCCUGAUCCAGCAAUGCCGCGUGAGUGAUGUAGGCCUUAGGGUUGUAAAGCUCUUUUACCAGGGAUGAUAAUGACAGUACCUGGAGAAUAAGCCCCGGCUAACUCCGUGCCAGCAGCCGCCGUAA